UGUUAGUCACAUGAGUUCGCAAAUUAGAGGAACCAGACAAAUGACUAAAUGGGAAAAGCAUGAAGACAAUUCAGUAAUUUUACACUGGAGAAAUACAGGCCCUCUCUGAAAUGCCCCAGCCCUCAAGUGAGAGUGGAAGACAAACAAAAUAUGGAAGAGUAAAAGCUGAUGACUAGUACUGAAGCUUGCUUGGAAAUCAUGAAGAAAGGUAAAACCAUGGAGAAAAUAUAAUAUAGAAGAGACGAAGACAAGAAAAAGAAUGUAAUGAAAGAAACAACGGGGAAAGAGGCAUACCAUUCAUGGACAAAAAUACUCAAGGAAUUUAAUUGAGAUGAGUGCUGCCACCAGCGUCAGAGGCCAAGUCCACAGAAACAGGGGACUCUUCCUGGGCUCCACCUUCUCUGUUGGUGUGUAUGGCUCCAUGGCUGUCACAAGACACAGUGGUUUGACUCUCCUCCACCAAUAGUGUUUUAGAGACUCUUGGGUCUUUAAAGUUUUUGAGAUAGAUUGUGGCUAAUAUUUAGUAACUAAUCCUCUAAUGUUAGAGUCAUUUCUCUGCUAUUCUGUAUCCCUCAGUCUGUUUCCUGUCCAUUAGAUUUUCUCUACAAUACACGGUCAGCUCUUCUAGUGCAUUUUUAUAUUCAACGUUAGAAAUCUAAUAUCUAAUAAAUCUAAUUGUUUCUUGGAUGUAUUGGCUCCUCCUGUCUCCCUUUGUUUAGUUUUCUUUUCCAUGCAAAAUCUCUGUUGUCACUUCUCAUCCCUGCCAUCCCUAUACCUGGUUCUACUGAGAGUUAGAAAACGUGGCUGGACACUCUGUGCUGUCAUUGGAACUUUUGAACUGUGCGUGUCACUGCAGCCUGAGCGGGCUAGGCUGCCUGCGUGGCAACCUGCGACGCCAUUAUCUUUAGUUCUUCCCUCCUUGGUUUAUCAGUGUUCCCAGAAAAUAAUCUUCUAAUCUCCCGCCUUGAUACCCUAAGUCUGGCUGUUA